UACGUAGGGGGCAAGCGUUGUCCGGAAUCAUUGGGCGUAAAGAGCGUGUAGGCGGCCAGGUAGGUCUGGUGUGAAAACUCGAGGCUUAACCUCGAGAUGUCAUCGGAAACCAUCUGGCUAGAGUCCGGAAGAGGAGAGUGGAAUUCCUGGUGUAGCGGUGAAAUGCGCAGAUAUCAGGAAGAACACCAAUGGCGAAAGCAGCUCUCUGGGACGGUACUGACGCUGAGACGCGAAAGCGUGGGGAGCGAGCAGG
rnacentral:rRNA from 1 species